GAAGGGUUCCGGGGAAAGGGAGGCCUCUGAUACAAGCUUUCGCCUUAAGAUGAGCCCAUGGCCCAUCAGCUAGUUGGUAGGGUAAAGGCCUACCAAGGCUACGACGGGUCGCUGGUCUGAGAGGACGACCAGCCACACUGGCACUGAGAUACGGGCCAGACUCCUACGGGAGGCAGCAGUGAGGAAUAUUGCGCAAUGGGGGAAACCCUGACGCAGCAACGCCGCGUGUGGGAAGAAGGCCUUCGGGUCGUAAACCACUUUUGCACGGGACGAAAAAGGGAUAUCGAACAAAUAUCCCCGAUGACGGUACCGUGAGAAUAAGCCACGGCUAACUCUGUGCCAGCAGCCGCGGUAAGACAGAGGUGGCAAGCGUUGUUCGGAAUUACUGGGCGUAAAGAGUCUGUAGGUGGUUUGUCAAGUCUUUGGUGAAAGGCCGUAGCUUAACUAUGGGAAUGCCAAAGAGACUGGCAGGCUGGAGGCUGGGAGAGGGAGCGGAAUUUCNGGUGUAGCGGUGAAAUGCGUAGAUA
rnacentral:rRNA from 1 species